UACAGAGGUGGCAAGCGUUGUUCGGAAUUACUGGGCGUAAAGGGCGCGUAGGCGGCCUUGUCAGUCAGACGUGAAAUCCCCAGGCUUAACCUGGGAACUGCGUCUGAUACUACAAGGCUGGAGUUCGGGAGAGGAAUGUGGAAUUCCAGGUGUAGCGGUGAAAUGCGUAGAUAUCUGGAGGAACACCGGUGGCGAAGGCGGCAUUCUGGACCGAAACCGACGCUGAUGCGCGAAAGCCAGGGGAGCAAACGGG
rnacentral:rRNA from 1 species